rnacentral:rRNA from 1 species
UUAAAUUAAAAUUUAAUAAAUUAAAGUAGUAAUAGAUUAUAUUCUAAAAACUUAAUAAAUUUGGCGGUGUUUUAAUCUAUUUAGAGGAAUUUGUUUUUUUAAUUGAUAAUCCCCAAUAUAUCUUACUUAAUAUUGUAAAAUUUGUAUAUCGUUGUCAUAAGAAUAUUUUUAAAAAAAAAUAAUUUUCUAAAUAAUUAAAAAAGUUUAAAUGUCAAAUCAAGGUGCAGUUUAUUAUUAAGUGAAAAUGAAUUACAAUAAAGUUAUUUUUUGGAUUUUAAAUUUUAAAAUUUAAAAGAAAUUGGAUUUAAUAGUAAAUUUAAAAAUUAUAUUAAAUUGAUUUAAGUUCUAAAAUAUGC